rnacentral:rRNA from 1 species
AGGGUUUGAUCCUGGCUCAGAUUGAACGCUGGCGGCAUGCCUUACACAUGCAAGUCGAACGCGAAAGCGGGGCAACCCGCAAGUAGAGUGGCGAACGGGUGAGUAAUACAUCGGAACGUAUCCAGUAGCGGGGGAUAACCUGUCGAAAGAUAGGCUAAUACCGCAUACGAUCUACGGAUGAAAGCGGGGGACCGCAAGGCCUCGCACUAUUGGAGCGGCCGAUGUCGGAUUAGCUAGUUGGUGAGGUAAAGGCUUACCAAGGCGACGAUCCGUAGCUGGUCUGAGAGGACGAUCAGCCACACUGGAACUGAGACACGGUCCAGACUCCUACGGGAGGCAGCAGUGGGGAAUUUUGGACAAUGGGCGCAAGCCUGAUCCAGCCAUGCCGCGUGAGUGAAGAAGGCCUUCGGGUUGUAAAGCUCUUUCGGCGGGGACGAAACGGUUCGUGUUAAUAACACGGACUAAUGACGGUACCCGCAUAAGAAGCACCGGCUAACUACGUGCCAGCAGCCGCGGUAAUACGUAGGGUGCAGGCGUUAAUCGGAAUUACUGGGCGUAAAGCGUGCGCAGGCGGUUUGUUAAGACAGGUGUGAAAUCCCCGGGCUUAACCUGGGAAUUGCGCUUGUAACUGGCAGGCUAGAGUGUGGCAGAGGGGGGUGGAAUUCCACGUGUAGCAGUGAAAUGCGUAGAUAUGUGGAGGAACACCGAUGGCGAAGGCAGCCCCCUGGGUUAACACUGACGCUCAUGCACGAAAGCGUGGGGAGCAAACAGGAUUAGAUACCCUGGUAGUCCACGCCCUAAACUAUGUCAACUGGUUGUCGGGGAAGAAAUUCCUUGGUAACGAAGCUAACGCGUGAAGUUGACCGCCUGGGGAGUACGGCCGCAAGG